CCUACGGGUGGCAGCAGUGGGGAAUAUUGGACGAUGGGCGAAAGCCUGAUCCAGCCAUGCCGCGUGUGUGAAGAAGGCCUUCGGGUUGUAAAGCACUUUCAGUGGGGAAGAAAGCCUUGGGGCUAAUACCCUCGAGGAAGGACAUCACCCACAGAAGAAGCACCGGCUAACUCCGUGCCAGCAGCCGCGGUAAUACGGAGGGUGCGAGCGUUAAUCGGAAUUACUGGGCGUAAAGCGCGCGUAGGCGGUCUGAUAAGCCGGUUGUGAAAGCCCCGGGCUCAACCUGGGAACGGCAUCCGGAACUGUCAGGCUAGAGUGCAGGAGAGGAAGGUAGAAUUCCCGGUGUAGCGGUGAAAUGCGUAGAGAUCGGGAGGAAUACCAGUGGCGAAGGCGGCCUUCUGGACUGACACUGACGCUGAGGUGCGAAAGCGUGGGUAGCAAACAGGAUUAGAUACCCUGGUAGUC
rnacentral:rRNA from 1 species